UCCGUUGGUGAACCAGCGGAGGGAUCAUUACCGAGUUUACAACUCCCAAACCCCUGUGAACAUACCUUAUGUUGCCUCGGCGGAUCAGCCCGCGCCCCGUAAAAAGGGACGGCCCGCCGCAGGAACCCUAAACUCUGUUUUUAGUGGAACUUCUGAGUAUAAAAAACAAAUAAAUCAAAACUUUCAACAACGGAUCUCUUGGUUCUGGCAUCGAUGAAGAACGCAGCAAAAUGCGAUAAGUAAUGUGAAUUGCAGAAUUCAGUGAAUCAUCGAAUCUUUGAACGCACAUUGCGCCCGCCAGUAUUCUGGCGGGCAUGCCUGUUCGAGCGUCAUUUCAACCCUCAAGCCCAGCUUGGUGUUGGGAGCUGCAGUCCUGCUGCACUCCCCAAAUACAUUGGCGGUCACGUCGAGCUUCCAUAGCGUAGUAAUUUACACAUCGUUACUGGUAAUCGUCGCGGCCACGCCGUUAAACCCCAACUUCUGAAUGUUGACCUCGGAUCAGGUAGGAAUACCCGCUGAACUUAAGCAUAU
rnacentral:rRNA from 1 species